rnacentral:lncRNA from 1 species
CACAAUGUUUUGGAAAUUGUUCACAAGGCUUUUGAGAAAGAAGUUAGACACCAUACUACAGUAAAUGCAGAUGAAAGGAGGUGCAUUGAAUAUAUGAUAGAUACUAUUUGUAAACAUUUCACUGCUGGUCAGUCAUUAGAGGUAGUUAAGGAGAAUACUCUAUGGCAUGACUCUGAUGCUGGAGAUGAUGAAGAUGAAUGCAAAUUUAAUAUGAAUGAAUCUAAUGAAGCAAGUGAUGUGUGCAACAGUAAUGUGUCCAAGUAUAUGCAAGAAUUUCUGCAAUUGAUAAGUCUGCAUUUACAAUUAUAAUGUAUUUCGUAAUAACUGAAAAGCCAUCCUGGAAGCUGUCUCCAACAACAAAAAAGUGUAGUGCUGCAGCAAAAUUAAGCCUUUCUACAAUUAAAGCAAUAUUCAACUAUUAUAAAUUGUGUAGAACAUUAUAUCAGAAAUGACAAGCCACUUUAAAAAACCUAAUGGUGUAAUUAUUUCAGCAAUUAGAUCUAUACAGAAUGGUGGAAAUGACUUCUUCAAAUAUAAAAUAAUCAAAAAAUAUAUGCUUGACAAAUUUUGUACCUACAGAAACGAAGGUUUAACAGUUCAUUGUUGGCAUUUACACAAAUGGGUUAGAAUGGGUGGGGAAAUUUACAAAUCAAAGAAGAAAUGCAAUAGUAUAUCAUUUAUCGACAAAUUUAAAAA